GGCGAACGCUGGCGGCGUGCCUAAUACAUGCAAGUCGAGCGGACGAUUCGAAAGCUUGCUUUUGAAUCGUUAGCGGCGGACGGGUGAGUAACACGUGGGCAACCUGCCCUGUAGACGGGGAUAACACCGAGAAAUCGGUGCUAAUACCGGAUAACACGAAAUGUCGCAUGACGUUUCGUUGAAAGGCGGCGCAAGCUGCCGCUACAGGAUGGGCCCGCGGCGCAUUAGCUAGUUGGUGAGGUAACGGCUCACCAAGGCGACGAUGCGUAGCCGACCUGAGAGGGUGAUCGGCCACACUGGGACUGAGACACGGCCCAGACUCCUACGGGAGGCAGCAGUAGGGAAUCUUCCGCAAUGGACGAAAGUCUGACGGAGCAACGCCGCGUGAGCGAAGAAGGCCUUCGGGUCGUAAAGCUCUGUUGUUAGGGAAGAACAAGUAACGUAGUAACUGACGUUACUAUGACGGUACCUAACGAGAAAGCCACGGCUAACUACGUG
rnacentral:rRNA from 1 species